GCAGGAGCAUAAAAUGGCUGCCAUUCCAUUAGCGGUGAUACUAUUGAAUGUAGAAGAGGAAAAGGUCAGACCUAAAUUUCUACAGGGGAAAAAUGAAAUCAAGAACUUUUUUAUUUCCUCUUCUGGUCAAAAGAUCCACAGUGUAUCACAAGAGAUCUCGAGAUUUCAUUGCAAAUUUGGAUUGCAAACAGUGACCAGUCAAAUGGUCA